rnacentral:rRNA from 1 species
GACGAACGCUGGCGGCGUGCUUAACACAUGCAAGUCGAACGGCAAGGCCCUGCUUUUGUGGGGUGCCCGAGUGGCGAACGGGUGAGUAACACGUGAGUAACCUGCCCUUGACUUUGGGAUAACUUCAGGAAACUGGGGCUAAUACCGGAUAGGAGCUCCUGCUGCAUGGUGGGGGUUGGAAAGUUUCGGCGGUUGGGGAUGGACUCGCGGCUUAACGGCUUGUUGGUGGGGGAGUGGCUUACCAAGGCAUUGACGGGUAGCCGGCCUGAGAGGGUGACCGGCCACAUUAGGACUGAGAUACGGCCCAGAGUCCUACGGGAGACAGCGGUGGGGAAUAUUGCACAAUGGGCGGAAGCCUGAUGCAGCAACGCCGCGUGCGGGAUGACGGCCUUCUGGUAGUAAACCGCUUUCGCCUGUGACGAAGCGGGAGUGACGGUAAUGGGUAAAGAAGCACCGGCUAACUACGUG